AAAUACUAUAUUUUUCAGUCUUCGAAGAGUAUAUACCCUUAAAUGUCAUAACGGUACAUUUGUAAGAUAUCAUUUUUGUUUGAGAAAAUUAAAUAAUAUUAUAUCACGCCACAUAGAGCACCGAAUGCCAAUAAAGCCGCAAAUUCUACCAUUUCAGUCAAUCGAAGCGUUUCAAGAGUUCGAAAAUGAUGAAAAUCUUUUUAAUGAGAUCGUUGCCUACUUUAAAUGGUUAGGCGGAUAUACGCUAAAGGAUUGUGUGCAUUAUUGCAUGACCGAGAGUCUUUCUAAAAAAAUUAGUGAACAUUUCACGUGGUGGGGAAAUGAAAAGAAGAAAAAGCUAUCACUAUAUAAAAGCAAGCUUAUUUAAGCAAUAUACAAAGCAGUGUCACAAAAUCCAAGUUUUCCAUCACCAACUCAAAAUUUGUUACAAGAAAAGGUUUCAGAAUCUCUUCGGGUGAUUAAACAAAAACAAAGAAACAUGUUCAGAGAGG